AGUCGGGAGGCGGGAGAAGCGAGCUGCCCCAGCGGCCUCUCACCUGUGUCGUCCCCUCGCGUCUGGGCGGCUGCGCUGCUGUUGUGGUAGGACUGGAGACAGAGUCUUGCUCUAUUGCCCAGGCUGCAACUGGUGUGAUCUCGGCUCACUACAACCUCUGCCUCCUGGGUUCAAGCGAUUCUCCUGCCUCAAGCUCCCAAGUAGCUGGGAUUACAAGCAUGCACCACCAUGCCUGGCUAAUUUUUGUAUUUUUAGUGGAGACGGGGUUUCGCCACAUUGGCCAGGGUGGUCUUGAACUCCUGACCUCAAGUGAUCCACCUGCCUUGGCCUCCCAAAGUGCUGGGAUUAUAAGCAUGAGCCACUGCACCCAGCCUUAUACUGAACUUUCAAUGGGUUCAAUUCCACUAGGAGCAUAAAGGCCACUGCAUAUGAGUUGUGGAAAGAAGAGAUUAGAAGAAGGAAGAACUUGAGAUGAGUUCCUCCCUUCAACAUUCUGUCUCCUCCUACCUAGCAUCUUCUUUCUUUUAGUCUUUCUAGAAUGUCCAUCUGUUUUUGGCCAUUGCGGAGAGAGAAGCUGAGCUUUAAAGGAGUAGGAGCUUCAAAGGCGUAGGAGCUUCAAAAUUCUUGUUUCUUCAUGUUUGAUCACCCUUCUAAACCUGUCUUCUGUUCCUUCUGCUAUUCUUUUUUCUUAGAGCAUAGGAAAGGGGAGCUUUUAAAUUAAUACUUAAAGCAUGGAAAAAAAGAACUUGAGAAGAAAGUAAAACAAGGGAGAUGAGGCUAGUAAAGUAAGGAAAAUGAAGAGGAAGAGGAGGAAGGGUUAGCUUCUAAAUUCCAAGUCAAAUUGAUAUGGAACAGGCAAGCCGCUUGUCUUACUUAAACUUCAGAAAAGGAUCUGCUGAAACUUGAUAGAAAUGGAAAGGGAAAUCCUUGGGGUGGGGAACCUCCAAACAUUAGUAAUGAUAUUGAACAACUCAAAGUAUUGAGGAAAUCUGCAGGCUACAUGCCUGAAGAUUACCCAUGCAGAUAGACCAAAAGGAUUAGAAUUAUCUGUUGAUAUUAGUAAUAUUUAUUGACAUCUAGCUAGUAUUGGUAAUUUUAAGUUUUAGAUUAAUUUCUUUGGUAAUAGCUAUGAUAUAUUUUAUAGACAAGAAUUAUAUCUAUAGGCUUGCUAUCAUAGGCUCUUUUAAUCAGCAUUAAUUUAGUCUACUGAUUUUUAGCACAUUUGAAUCAUUCACUUAUGCUAGGUAACUCAUUGCAAAAUAAAAAGAUGAUUCCUGUAUGUAUGGCAGCUAUACAUUAAGGAGGAGUCUACCAGAAUAUGAAAAAGUCAGCUGACCUAAAUAGUAAGUGUUACAGGAGCAAAUAUCUUCCUUUAUAGGAUUAUAUCAUUUAUGUGAAUUUGUAUAAUAAAUUUUCUAAAUACUGUUGUGGUGGCAAAAGACUCAGCUUUCAAAGAAUUUCAGGUGUUUCAUGUCUCCAGCAGAGGGGCAGCCACCCACAGCUGGGGGGUGGCCAUAGUCAUCUCCAUGCCUCCAGUGCUAGCCCAGUGCUGGGCACAUACAGGCUCCAGUGUUUCUCAAGUCAAACCAAACUGUGGUGGAAAAUAGUGAGGGGGAAAUUGUGAGGAAGGAUUAUUUAUUUGUUUGUUUGUUUUAGCAUCCUUAUUACCUUGGUGGUAAUCUGGUUUAGAAACCUACUCUGUUUUUUCUUCUUGAGACUAAGUGCCUAGAAUAUUUUAGUUAAAAAAAUUUUUUUGGCACCAUUUUUUGAGCAGUUAUUACAUGUCAGGCCCCUAAAUAUACUGGGUGCUCUGGACUCUUCACAGGUGAGAUCAUUUAAUGCUCACACAGCCCAGUGAUGUGGGAAUCUUGACUCUGUUGUACACAGUGCAUCACUCCACUGCCAGGGCUCAAUACAUCAUAAACAAUAGCAGCAACAGCUGUGAGAGGAAUCCAAGGACAAAUUUGUUAGAAUAAAGCAAAACAGGGCUUUACCAUAUGGGAGAUAUAUCUAAGAUGGGUUUAUUAGAUGUAGGAUGAUUUUUCUUGUAACCUAAGGGCUUUCUGGAGGGAACCUGAAAUCUUUUCACUAUGCCCACAUCAUUGCCAGAUGUGGAUACAGUGAAAUUGACCUUAUCCUGUGUGUGUAUCUCUGUGUGUAUGCAUGCAUAUGUGUGUGUGUGUGUGUGUGUGAAAGUGGCAAAUUCUGGUUCAUAUACUGAGUUUCAAUUUAUCUUACAUUCACUUUCUUAUGCAAAAAUUUCUUCAUGAACCAUGUAAAUAUGCAGUAGACCCCUGCCCCCCACCACCUUCCAUAUGUGAAUAAAUUCACGUUCACCAACAUGUAAAACCAAUGGCAGUAAAAUAAUGAUAAAACAUGGUUAUUUCAUAAGGGAUCUGGUUGGUCUUGUAUUCUGAUAGUAGGAUAUAAUGGAGUCCUCUACAAAACUUUAAAAAUUUAUAAUGAUUAUUGACACCAUUAAUCAGAAUUUGCCAUGUGAACAAUUCAGGGAUCUGUUGUAUUAAGCUGUCAUGUGGUUGCAAUCAUACCUUUUAACUGCCAUCAGAGGUAACUGUCAGCAACACCAUAUCUUCCCUCCAGUCUAUUACAGCUUCAGUUCCCCAGGGCUCCAUCCUGAGUCCAGGGCGAUUUGUAUGGUACACUAAUGACCUGCUGAUUGUCUGCACAAAAACGAAAUCAUACACUGUUCAGGCAACACAGUGAUUCCACACAAAAGCAAAGGACUGUCUGGUGUCAAAAUAAUACCAUACUCUUACUUUGAUAAAGGUUUUUUAAACUGACUACAAGGUACUAUUUGGUGGUAAAGUGUAGCAGAAAUGUUUAUUUAAAUAACAAGUUGGCAGCAGGUAAAUUUCAGGAGUGUGUGUAUGUGUGAAAAGGUUGCUAUUUAGGUAGCUAUUUUUGUUCUGAUAUUUGGUUUUAAUUUUGAAAGAUAUAGCAACUAUUCAGAUAUUUCAGUAGGGUAUUUAUUUGUGUUGGUGAUUAUUAACAUACAUUUUAAAUACCAUGUGAAAUUAAGGUUUUCUUAAUAAGUUUUGAAAACAUGUGAUGAGCACUAUAUUGAUGUAUCUACCUGUUUUUCCAUUGAUUUAUCGCUAUGGUGUGUCUCAAUAAGCAGAUUUGAGUUUGUAGGGGUCAGAUGAAGCCAUGUCACUGCUCUAUGUGUGUGUGCCUGCCCCAUAGUGUCUCCCUUCUGAACCUAAAGUCACAGGAGGAACCUGAGCUGGCACUGGAAAACCAUCCAAAAUCCUACCCUGGCCCUCUUUUGUCCUGCUCCCGUACUCCUGUGGCUCUGCAGUGUGUGUGUGUGUCUCUGUGUGUGUUUAUAUCGAAUGGGCUGAUUUUCCCUAGAGUAUUUGUUGCUGAGUCAUUUAUCUGUUGAAUGAUGGAGAAUAAUUCCUGCUGAGACUCUGACCCAGAUCCCAAAGCUUUAUUCCAAGACUUGGCUUGUUUGCUUGUUCAUUUGUCUAUUCUUUCAUUCAUUCAGUUGAUUAUUUUAAACCUGUUUUUAUAUACCAGCCACUAUGCUGGGCACUGGGAUGAUAAUGAUGAAGAAGAUUCAGUCUCGAAUCUCAAGCCCCUUGUAGUCUUGUUGGAGCUAGUGAUCAGUCAGUUGGCAGUUACCCAAUGCUUAACAGACUGUCAAGGAUCCCUUGUCAACUAAAUUCUAAAAAGGUUUAAAGAGAAUGUGAAUUGUAACACACUGGAAUAUGAAGGCUACUCCACUAGACUGCAAGCUUGUUUAGGGCAAGAACUGAGUCUUGUCCCUAGAAUUACUCAUAGCUCUGAGCACAGGAAGUGCAUAGAGUAUAUGCUCUGUUAAAUGUAGAUUAUUAUUAUUAUUAUUAUUAUUAUUUUUGAGACAGAGUCUUGCUGUUUCACCUGGCUGGAGUGCAGUGGCAUGAUCUCUGCUCAGUGCCACCUCUGCCUCCUAGGUUAAAGUGAUUCUCAUGCCUCAGCCUUCCGAGUAGCUGGGAUUACAGGUGUACACCACCAUGCCCGGCUAAUUUUUGUAUGUUUAGUAGAUACAAGGUUUUGCUAUGUUAGCCAGGCUGGUCUCGAACUCCUGGCUUCAAGUUAUCUGCCCGCCUUGGCCUCCCAAAGUGCUGGCAUUACAGGUGUGAGCCAGAGGAGGCCCAGCCUAAAUGUUGAAUUUUUCGAGAUGCCUAAGAAAAGAAUCUUCAGCUAUAGACAGUAAAUUGCAGACAUUAAAAGUAGAGGCUUUGGUGUUAGUUAUGCCCUUUGCCUCUACCCAUAGUUUAACUUAGUAACCAGUGACAGCCCCACUGCAUCCAAUUUAUUAAUCCAUUUCAAAAGAUAUGUGUUUAACACCUAUGAUAUGUCAGGGCACUACUAGGUGGGUGUGAAUGUGAACAAGAUAGAAACAGGAUCUUUCCUCAUGUAGUUCCCAGUUAGGAGGUGUGGGGACCUCAGAACUGGUGGAGAGGAUUUCAAUAAAGUGUGUUAAAUUUUAUGAGAGAAGAGAAGCUGUUGCAUUGACUGACUGAGGGGAGAGUUUAGGAGGUCAGGAAGAGUGCUUCAGGCAAAAGAGACAAAGUGUGCAAAGACCUGGAGGUGAGAAUGAGCAGGGUGCAUUCCGGGGACUUUAAUAUAUUAAGAGUCAUUGCAUUGUCAGCUGCAAUGAGAGGAGCUUGUGAUAAGGCUGGGAAGGUGAGUAGGGACAGAUCCUGAAGGGCCUUGUAGGGAAUGCUAAGUGGUUUGGACUCCAUCUUAAGAUCAAAAGGAAUUUUUUGACUGGAUUUGAGCAGGGAAGCACCAUGAUGAAAUUCGCAUUUUAGAAAGAUUACUUGAGUUACAUAGUGAAAGGAGAAUUGUAAAGGGUGAAAUAUCAGUUAGGAAGGCUUUUGCAGUAAUCUGAUUGGAAGAUGGUCCAUAGUCCAACAGUGUGGUAUAGUAGAAAAAUGCAUAAGUUUGAGACUCCAACAAGCCUUGCCUCUAAAACUUAUUAUCUAAGUGACUUUUAGCAAAUAACCAACUUUACAUAGCCUCUACAUUUUUUUUUCUGCAAAACAGAGUAACUUUGCAUAUCUAAUGUGAGGCUUAGAUGGAAUACUGUAUGUAAGAUACCAGACAUAACAUGACAUACUUCUAAAUGACAGCCCUUUCACAUUGUUGUCAAUGAUGUUACCUCCUCCUACCUCCUUAUAUUUCUUCCCUUUUAGUGUACAACUUAAUGCUUUUCAAUAUGAUAUUUUGUUGCCAUUAUUGUUGGUCCUCUAUCUCUGCACUGUGUGUGGCAGAGGCUUUUCCUUUUUGCUUCAGUCUUCUUGACUAUUGCAGCUCUCCCAGAAUGCUCUGAGCCAUCACAAGGUUACUUCUGGAAAAGUCCAUUCUGUUGAACGCUUUAUUCUGAUUUGGAUGAUGUUACAAGCAAUGAAACCAAGCCUGGUGAGGGCUAAAAUCCUUGCUCCCUUCCCUUCAGGGACUUGCUGGUAACUGCUUUCUCCUCCUCAUGCCCUCGGAAUGCAGCUUUGGUGUUAUCUUUGGCACUCCUCAGGGCUGCUUCUUAAGCACUUGUGGAGAGAGAACUUUGUAUAUUUUACAGAUUAGACCUUAUUUUCACUCUGAGAAUAUUCCAGAAUCCUGUCAUAUUUUCCUUUCUGACAUCUCUAAGACUCAUCUUUGCCUGUGAGUUUCCAAUCACUAAAAUCCUUUCCCAUAUUUUGGUCUUCUUUUCCUUCUACUCCUUAUAAAUGCCUCCAUUGUGGUCUCUAUUCUUGAGUUCAGUCUCUGUUAAAGCAAUCUUCUUGGUGCCUUCAUUACAACAUCUUUUUAAAAUGCCUUCACUGGUUUCUCUCAUCUGCAUUAAAUCUGGACAUUAGGGACCUUCACUGUUCUUCAUUGGUUGAUUGUUUUUUUCCCUGCCGGCUUUCCAUAUUUCUUCUUAAUUUCUUAAUACCUGAACUCUUUAUGUGUUUUCUUUAUUUCCCUCAUUCACUUUUGUUUUCCUAGGCAGUUUUAGAGCUGUCUCUUCUCCAGCCAAGAACAUUUUCUUUCCCUUUCAUAUGCCAAACCCAGCCUCUAACAAGUUGUAUCCUGUAACCCUUCUCUAUUUCUCUCAUAGUGCUCUUCCUCACAUUUGCUAAUGUCUCCCUCUUCCUUAUGAUAGUGUUUUUUUUAAAAAAAAAAAUCAAGGGACUACCAGUAUAGCUAUCUAAUAGAGUAUAUGUGUGCCCCCUUUUGAUACAAUCACAUCUAUUGUCUAUCAGGGAAGAUCUUUGCUAUUAGUUGUUGACUUGAGUACAUGCUCUUGCCUCCAUUGCUACUACCUUAGUUUGGGGCUGAUAAUUACAGUUACCUCCCAGUUGGUCUCACUGCCUUGGCUAUCUUUCCUGGUUAUUCUACCUUCACAUCGUUAGAGGUGUCUUUGUGAUCUGGUCCCUUUCCCUUCUUAAAACAGAACAGCAAAGCUCUGGCUUUCCCUAGCCUAGAAAAUAAAGUUCUGCUUCCUUAGGUGUGCGUCAAGAGUCUUCAGACCCUGGCUCCUCCUCACUGUUCUUGACUCACCCUGUCACUUUUCACCCCAAAUUCUAAAUCCCAGUCACAUAGAACUGCUUGAGGAGGCAAUUUACUAUGUGUUGAAGUCAAGAGUGUUCUGCUACAGACCAAUGUAGUCUGCAGAAUUCUUUACUAUCUUUUAAAAAUGAAAAAGAUUUUCUGUAAAGAUCUGUCUUUCUGGCUUUAUCUCAGAAAAUAUGGCAACACUGUACUGCACACCCACCCAGAGGUGGAGGGUUACAGUGGAAUGGGGAAGCCCUGUUGGGUGAAGUGGCUCUCUCUCCAAUUUGCCAUAGUUUCUGCACUCGUGUUUGCAUCCUCAACAUUGAGGCAAAGCAUCAUUUGCCAUUUAUCACUGAUCUUGUGCUUUGUUUUUUCCCCUAGUAUUAGGAGAAAAUUGUACCACAUGUCUAUAGAUGAAUCAAAGAUGAGUCAAUACUGCUUUGUAUUUCAAGGUAUGCUAUAUGGGGCCCACUUGACACUAUCAUUGUCCUGCUCCUGCAGACAUCUGAGUUGGAUCUCUGACUGAGCAGCUUAGCACUAGGGUCUGUGUUUAAGUUCUGGCUCCAUCACUUAUUAGCUGUGUGGUUUGGGGCAAUUUACUUAAACAUUCUCUGCCUUAGUUUUCACAUCUAUAAAUCGAGGAUGAUUUCUGGAAAGCGCUCAAUACAUCUCAGCAACAUUAUUGCCACCAUUAUUAUUAUUCUACUUUCCGCAAAUCUAAUGAUAAGAAUGACAGAUCCAUGAGGGACAUGGUUUGGGGCAAGGUUUGGGGCAGGGGUCUUUUGGUGCCUAUUAAGCCACAUCUCCCUAGCUAUCAGUUUUGCCACUUACUAGCUGUGGACUGGUCAAGUUAUUUAACUUCACUAUGGCUUCGUGUUGUCAUAUUUUAAAAUGUUAGUGAUAACAAUAUCAUCAUAAUAAUAUCCACAUCUUUGGUAAUGAUGUCUUAUCUGAGAUAACCAUGUACUGAGCCAACCAUGUACUGUGUGUAAUGAAUGUCUGUCUGCCACAUAAUAAGUACAAGUGAAUGGUAGUUAUUGUCAUUGGCUGCCCUGCCUCUUGCCCAGGGGUCAUCACCCAGUAGUUGUGAGGGCCCAGGGAGCCAGGUGACCCACCUGUAUGUUUUAUGUGUUACCUAUGCAUGGGCUUUUCAAAAAUUGAGAUAUAAUUCAUAUACCAUAAAAUUCACCCUCUUAAAGCAUACAAUCCAGUGGUUUUUCAGUAUAGUCAGAAAGUUGUGCAGUCAUUACCGCUAAUUCCAGAAUGUCUUCAUCACCUCCAAAAGGAAACUCCAUACCCAUUAGCAGUUGUUCCCCAUUCCACUUCCCUCAGCCCUCUACAACCACUAAUCUAUUUUCUAUCUGUAUGGAUUUGCCUAUUCUAGACAUUCAAUAUAAAUGGUAUAAAUUGAAUCAUAUGAUACAUGGCUGGACAUGGGCUUUUUUUUUUCCUGUGUGUUUUCCUGAGGAGUAAAGCUGCACCCUUUUCCAGAAAACAGAUUUCUGCUGGGAACAUGAAGGAGGCCCUAAGUAGGAAGUUUCAAGUAGGAAGACAGCAUAGACCAUGACUGACCUAAGAGGAACAAAACCAAACAGACUUAGAUUCUAGGGGCCAAUGUGAGUAAGUUAAGAAUUUUGAGGAGCAGCAAACCAUUAAUAUAAAGAAGGAACCAAGAUAGAUUCCCUUAAAUUCUUUGCAGCCUGACCCUCAACACACUGUGAGAAUCUCAAAUGUCCACCUAUGGACUGCCUACCUUAGAUUUACCUCACAGCUGGCAAAAAAGACACAUUCUGGGCUCUUCCUCAGGCUUACUGAAUCAGAAUCCCCAGGGUGGGGGUUGAGGAACCAGGAAAGAUGGUUCUGCCAGGAAGUGGAUUUGGAAAUUGUUGAGUUACAUCGAGCAAGCUUAUAUGACACAGAUAUGGAUCUGUGUUUUGUUUCAUCCUCAACAACACUGCUCUGUAACGUGGGUUCUUUUUCAGUGUACGUGUCUGAUCUUCUUGGUAGAGUUUUUGCAACUAGGGCUUACUUUUCUUUGCCCAUCUUAGCCCCCCUGCACAGUCUUGUACAAAGUAGGGGCUCAGCACAUAUUGGGAGAUUGGUUACACAAGAGGCUUGAAGGCAUCACUUGGAUAUUGCCAGGACCAAAGCCACUAAGGUCAACAGGUCUAAGAGGAGACCUUUCUGUCCCAUUCUAAGCAUUCUUUGUUUGAGAUUUCAAGGCUGGUGUUUGUUUUCAGGGCUCUGACUUGUGACCCAGUGGUCAGGAGCCCUUUGAUGUAUGGGUUCCAGAGGAUGUCCCCAUAGCAGUCCCUUCAUAGGGACCUCUCAGCCCUCUGUGCAGUGCUGGUAGGUAGAGGGGUGACCAAGUGUAGGGGUGGUUUCUAUACCUGGAAGACCCCAUGGAGCUUGUUAACAUGUAGAUAACUGUGCCUCAACCCGGACCCACUGAAUCAAAUUGCUGUCCAGGAAGGGGAAAUUGCUACCCAGAUACUACCCAAAUACUACUCUAGAGUUUGAGGAAUAUGAUCUUCUGCCUGUGUCUGGAGCACAGUGUGUUAUGCUCAUGGGGAUUUACCUGGAUAGGGCUGUGGACUGGGUCUUGGGAGACCUGGGCUCAGUCCUGGUUCUACCCUUUAGUUAGUCUCUACAGGACACUGUGCAAGCCACUCACCUUUCACUUUGCUUCUUUGUAAAGUGAAAGAUUUGGACUAGGGUAGACACCAGCAAUGCAGACAUGAUCACUCAUAUCUGUAGGAGGCUUCUCUAUAAAUCCAGUCAUCGGUUCUAAAGGACCCAGCUCUUCUGUGUGCUCUGAGGACGGAUUUGUCUUCUAAGACUGGGGUUAGCAGCUGUUUAGUAUCAUUGGAGGCCAAGUUGCCUAAGCCCAUGUUCGGAGGUUUGAUGGUUGGUGUGGGAUGGUGGUGACAUUAAACAAGAAGCAUGGGAAGGCCCUGCUCUUUCCUUAUUCACUUGUCCCUUCCUUCUCUCUAUUUUUUUUUCAUAUUACAGUAACUAAGAGUUUUAUGUACACAAGCUCCAUUUAUAAAUUGCAGAUACCUCGUAGGAGUGUGAAAGUCACCAAUUGUUAUUUCUUUCUUUCUUUUUUUUUUUUUUUUUUGCACUGUCUUAUGGUGCUGAUAAAGUCAAAUUAACCAGUUAUUCAUACCCUAGUAUGAAAUACCCAAUUCUAGCCAUUGGAAGACUUUCUGUUUAGCUACUAUCUGUUGCAUUAAAGAAAUUAGAGUGGGUGGAUGAUGGCAUAUGGAUGCUGGGCUCCUGGUUCCUGAGGAAGGGGACAGAGGGGCCCCCCUAAGUAGGGAUGGCAGCCGAAGACAGCCAUUGAUUUGGUGGUUUUGCCAGUACUCUGAUAAUGGCGCUAUCACCAUCACUUUUGAUGUUUUUGGUAGAAAUUCCCUAAACUAGUGAUGCUUCAUUUAAACCAUCUUUGGGUGAGAUUAUUAUCAUCCUAUCUGAUUCUGUUAAAGACUCUGGGUAUCAAUCAUAUUGAUUGCCCAGGGACUGGCUAAGGCUUUGGUUACUAUGCUUCUACCUUUUCAUGGGAGCUUAACUCUCAGUUUGCCCCCAGAUAUUGUUAUUUAUUGAACUCUCACUUAGGUCGCAUAAUUGCUGUACCAUUCAGGUCAGUGCUGUGCAAUAUCGUGGGGGAAGAAGCAAUUUCUUUGCUCUUGAUUCUUUGUGCUCUCUCUCCUUUUCCCCUAGUAUAUCCCUUCCUAGCCCAUGUAUUCUACAUGCUUUAUGCAUGCAGAUUUACUUGCAUUUACUUGUAUUUAGUUGCAAUUAUAGUUUUUCCUUUUUCUUUGGUACAACAAAAUUAACGAAGGAACAGAGAAUCCUUAGGCAUAAUUUGUGUGUUUCUGUAGUCUCUGCCCCAUUGUCUGGAAAACCACAGACUUCAUUUAGAUGCCAAUGAAUCCGUCAUCAGGCUUUGAGUAAACCAUGCAUUUACCAAGAUCCUUACUUGAGCAGUGAUUUAGCUUUUUAAUCUUUUGUUUAUAAUUUUACAGUUGCUGAGACAAAGGAAAACCCACUCCCUUGGAGGAGCAUGACCUUUUCCUGUAAUUCUUCCCACUGCUGUUGUUGAGCUCCUUGGAUCCUGGCUCCUGGACACCAUCAUCAAGAAGACUUUAUGGAUGGGCUGUCCACCCACUGAGAGAAGAGGAGCAUCAGCUACAGUUUCUCUCUAGAUUGCCUUCUUCAUUUUGAGUAAUGACUGUCAGCAGGGUCAGAUUAAACACAAAACAACUGGACAAUUGCUUGGAGGACUAAACUAUAAGGGCACUAACAUGUCAAUAGUAGGCUAACACAUCCAUGGAAAAUAUAUUUACCAGCUCUUCUCUCAGGGAGGAUUCUGUGUGGGGUUGGAAGUAAUGAUUUGUUAAAUUCCUUAGGGGUAGAAAGUAGGGCAUAAUCAGAAUAUAGAGGAAUAUGCUGUUUGACUUCAGGGUUUCUGUUUUUCUUACUAGGAUAUAUAAAACAGGGACUCUAGCUAGAUUGUUUAUGACCACAGAGGGUAGGCUGAGUGCUCCCAUGAUCUUCCUGCUUGGUUCUUGCCCAUACAGAGGUCAGCCUUUCCUCUAAUAAAGAUUGAACAAGUAGUGGUCUGAGGGAGACACCAAUUCAUUACCCUACAUGUCUCUUCUCUGCACUCCAGGGCUUUGAUAAUAAAGACACUGGCAGACUAUCUAUCUUCCAUUUCUAUAAUGUGAGCCCUUAGGGAGUCUUCGUUCACUUGGGGGUGAGGGUCAUUGCUCACAGAGUAGUUCAAGUCAAAUGGAACUUGAACUCUUUGCCUAUGGGCCUGGUGGUCAGACUCUGUGUUGAGUUCAUUAGAUUAUUGGAGACACAAGGUAGAGCUGGAUGCUUCAAAAAUAUUUGGCUAAAGGAUGACAUUGCUGGUUAUUUGUAGAUAAAGCCAUGAUGGAACCUGCUUGGAAUCAUGAAAUAUGGAACUGGUGGUCAUGUUUAAAAAUACAACUAAUAGUUAAGUACCUACUGGACACUGUAGAGACUUAGGGGCUAGACAGACAUGGUUCCUGCCCCCUUGGAGCUUACACUGUAGCUUCCCCUUAGGUAUGAAGAACAGUGGCUACAACUAACAAAUGGCCACAAAGAUAUAAUUGAGCCAGUGUUCCAAUUAUUAGGGUAAUUCCUAUUUCCUUAAUCAUUCCUAUUGACCAUGUUCUAUAAGCCUGCAUUCUAUAAAUGGCGUAUGACCAUGGGCUGUUUCCCCCCAGCAAGUUGUACAAAGUUCUGUGGUACCAGGGAAAGGGCUUAAGGUUAGCAGGGCCUCUGCGGAAGGACAUAUGAAGUGACUUGGGUUAGGAAACAGGAAGGGAUAGGAUUCAAGAACAGCUAUUGCUUCUGUUCUAUAUAGGAAACUGCAGCGUGAAAAAUGCUGGGCUGGGAAUUUUGAGACCUGGGUUUUAGUUUGUGUUCUAAUACUAACAAGCUAUGUGACUGUGGGUAAGUCAUUUCACAUUCCAUUUGGAUGCCUCUUGAGUGACUCCAGGCCUCUCCAGCUCUAAAACAUUAAGAUCAGGCCCUACGCUACAGCUGGCCAGUGUGUAAUUCUUCUGUUUCUAUGCUGUUAGGUCAAAUAGAUCUUCAAUAGUUACUUGAUUGUUAUUACUUUUUUCUGAAGUGGGUGUUUUAUCAAUGUUUUAGGAUACAGUGAGUCUGCUUCUCCCCUUUGGAGUUAGGAAGGUUGUAGGAAUAUACACUGUAGAGCAUAUGGGAGCUUUAUCCCCUCCUUUUUUCCCCGCUACCUUUCUCCCUCUCCUUCCCUUCAUCACAUUUCUAUUGAGCAUAUGCCAUUGCCGUGUACCAGGUGUGUGCUAGGUUUGGAGAUACAAGGUAAACCUGAGACUUUCCCAGUCUCCAGGAGACAAAACCCUAAUUUCUUUCAUCUGCUGUCUUUCUCUUUGGAAAGAAUCAACGAUAUCCCAGGGGAAUGUGCCCAUGUCCCAGGGUAACCAACUACAGACAGAUGCCCCAUUCUACUCAAGCAACUUUUAGAGUGCCUUGAGAUACACAUCAGAUAAUUAUGCAGGGCCAGGCAUGGUGCUGCACACUUGUAAUCACAGCACUUUGGGAGGCCGAGGCAGCAGAUUGCUUGAGCCCAGGAAUUCAAGUGUAGCCUAGGGAACAUGGCAAAACCCCAGCUCUACAAAAAAAUACACAAAUUAGCUGCGUGUGGUGGCCUAUGACAGGAGGCUGAGAUGGGAGGAUUGCUUGAGCCUGUGAGGUCGAGGCUGCAGUGAGCCGAGAUCAUGCCAUUACUCCAGCCUGGGUGACAUAGGGAGACCCUGUCUUGAAAAAAAAAAAAAAAAGAUAAUUAUUCAGCCCUAGAGUCAUUGUGAAAAGAUCUAUCUUCAGAUAUAAGGAAGAAACAAUCUUUUAUUUCUUAGGAUAAAUCUGUAGAAGGACCUCCAGACAGUGAAGGCCACUGACUACUUUAUACUCUGUAAGCCAUCCCUCCCUGGUAGGAAGGACUAUUUCCAAUCUUACAGAGUACCUCUCAGCAAAUAGACGUUUUCACAUAUACUGUGAUUCAUACAUCCCUAUGGCUGGUGACCUCUUUAAAAAGGAAAGGAAAAAGCCUAAUCAAACAAAAAGAUGCUGCUAGUAAUUCUUACCCUAUUGUGAAUCCUAUAUAAGCAAAUUUGUAUCUUUGUUUUUUCCUACAUUAGCAGAUCUAUUUGAUGUAUAUCUCUGAGUGCAGAAAAUAUUUUAUGGAAAAAUCAAUAUAUGGAAUUUCAAAUUCAGAAUUGCUGAUACACACUAUUUGGUUUCACAAUUUUAUCCUAGGAAAUAGUAUUAGAGAUUUCAAUUUCUGGCUUAAAUGGUAGAAUUAAUUACUCUUAACUCUUAAUUUUACUUCUGAGUUGAGGUCAAGGAACAGGCAGACACCUGCAGUUAACGUCUAUACCUCUCCAUGGCCAAGAGUUUUAAUUUUCUCGUCUUCAAUUUUGUAGAUGUUCAUCAUUACUAAAUGGAUUGAUUAGUAUUUUAUCUCCUCUCCUUGUCCUUACUUUCCCUCUGGUAAAUAUGUUAUAAACAGUGUAAGGCUCCUAAGAUAGAGUAGCUGGUAGGACUUAGAAGAGAAACAAAGGGCACUGAUAACUCACAUAAAUGGAAAAUUGGCUCUGGAAUAACUGACAACAUAUUCAAGUAUUUUAGUGCAGUGUCACUCUCAUUAAGAAGAAGAGAAUCAGUAAAUCUAUGUGACUCUAAACAUUCUAAUGAAAAAAGGAAUAUUCUGCCAAUUAUCUCACAUUUCUAAAUAUCUGGAUAUUGGCCAUUGUAAAGACAAAACAUACAGAUGAUGGACUUGUCUUUCCACCUCUCAUUUGCAUGGUUUGGAGCAUUGUACCUCCAGCCAUAGACUCUAAGGCAAUUUAUAUUUGCUUCCUCUUCCCUCUUGAGAGAAAACGAAAAUCUUAUUUUUCCAAGCAAUUAAAACUCUUCUGCUUCAGCUAGGAUGAAAGAAUUAGGAGUUCUGUCUCCUUGUAUCUAAUUGCAUGUUUCAUCUUUCUUGUUUUAAUGAUUGACAGAAAACUAAUAAACUGAGACAUCUUUGAAUCCAGGUUGAAUGUACUCUCUUGGUGGCCCCAUUGCUAAUUUGUUUGACUAUUUUGCAGGAUUUCUUACUCUGUAAUGGAAAGGUUUAUUAAAUAUGAGGGGUGCAAAGCUUUCUGAAUACUAAUGAACUUAUUUGCCAAAAUUUAAAUGUUCUUCUUGUCAGUGAAUGUCUGUCUCUCUUAACAGGAUCCAAAUUGAAUAAUGAAGAAAAUUAGACUCUAUUGUACCCUCAGGAGAAAUCGUGGUGAAUCGUAAUAGAAUACAGAGGGGGAAAGGGGUCACAUUUUAGAAAAAAAGAGUAGAUAAUUUGGAUUAUUAAAAAAGGGAUUAACUCAGGAAAACUCUGUUCUUUUCAAAGAAACGUACUCAUAGUCAUUCAAUGAGCAGGAUUUCCCACUGCACAAGCAUCUAUACCUUUGGCCAGUGUAGAAAGAGAGUAAGGUCAUAAUCAUAUGGAGAUGCAUGCUAGGUUUCAGUAGUUACAAUUUACUAAUCUCAUUCCCAUAUAAGGCCUUUAUAUGCCUGUAAUGGAAUGGGAAAAUCAAUAAGCUUUGAAAAGGAACACUAUUCUUCAGAGAAGUUCAAUGGGAGAUAGUUGAGUUGGGGAAAUUGCCCCAGUUCUUCCUUUAAGCAUGAAAUGAGGCUGUCCCUAUGUAUGUUUACUUCCAUUGCCUUGGUGUUAUCACUGAUAAAGUCAAUGAUCAUGAUGCCUUUGCCUUGGCAGCACCUGGGGGGCACUGAAGGAACCAAGUAGCUGUACUCAUGGCCAGGAAGGCAGGCUGCCAGAACUUCAGCAGCCACACAAGUGGCCAAACAUGGUCAGGAACGAAAGUAGUGUGUGUAUGGAGUGAAAUGAAAUGAUGAGAGGAAAGUGAAGGAUGAUAUAAAGAUGGGGCUGUCCAAAGAUGGGAGUUCAUCCCUGUCCUGCACUUGAAAUAGGAAGGAAAGAACUGGAGAAGGAUUAGGUGAGGAAGGAUCCUGAAAUAGAGAAAAUAAAGGGAAGACUGCAUGCCUGCAGUGUUUGCUAAAAUUAAUUCGCCUGAGAUUUCAGGAGGAGCAAAGAAAGAUCAAGAGAAAGGGAAAACAGCCUCAAAGCCUGUGAAGGUUGAAAAACAAAAUAUAAACAAAAAAUUUUUAAAGCUAAGAUUAUGCUCUUCUAAGAAAAGAGGCUGGACACUAACAGAAAGCUUGAUGACAGCAGGAUUUGUAUUUAGCGGUUUAUUUAGAUCCCUAAGAAAAAAGGCUUAUGUGACAUAGAUUCAUAAGACACAAAUGUGUCCUUGGCUGACCAUACUAGGCUUCACUCCCAAAGGAGAAAAAGAAUGGUCGGCGCAUCUCAGAUUAACACCAACCAACUGUGCAAUAUUUCAUUUUAGAAAGCGUUUCCUUGUAUUAUCCAUGAUUAAAUAAAAAGAGACCUAGUGUAUUUGAUUGCUUCUGUGGCAAGGCUUGAGAAUUACAAACCUAGGUUUCCCUCUGGGAAUGAUCAUUGGAUUUUUAAAAUUAAGUAAGUGGAAGGAGAUUAAGAUUUAUUUCCAUCAUUUCAAAUCAUGAUCUGCACCUUUGGAAACAAAAAGGAAGUUGGAAAGUGGGAAGGUGAGGUAGGUGUGCAAGAAUGGGGAGAAAGAUGCUGCAAGCCAAAUAAGACUGUAUAAUUUCUGAGAAAAUUAAAUGAACAAUAGAGUUUGAAGGAUAAGUGGGUAAUGAGGAAUAUGAGAUAAUAAGAUAUUAAAAAAUAGCAAAUUACUUGGGAAAGUGAGGAUGAAUGAUGGUAGAUAGUUAAGGGAUUUGGGAUGGCAAGGAAGGGAAGAGAUGACUAGGGUGGGAAACAAAACAUGAUUAAUGGCUGUAAAAGGGCAAGUUUGGACUCUCGAUGGCAUAUCUUCCCAAACUUUGGAGAAUGUGCAGAACUUAGUAAUAAAGAAGGAAAAGAUUAAAAGAGUUCAUGGUUAACAUGAAAUUGUGAGGACAACAGAGGAAGCAAUAAAUGUCAUUAGUCCUCAGGAAUGAAAGCAUUUCUAGAGAAACGUACUAGUCUAUGUUCUUCAUUUAUGAGCAGAAUAGUUUUCAUCUACUUUUUAAUAAAAGGUUAAUGUAUAAAAUGAAUGCUAUUAAAGGAAAGAAAAGCUAAGCAUUAUCAGGAAAGUUGAAGAAAAGAUUGCACCUAGAACAACUGAAGUAAACCAGCAAACCUAUUUUACAGCCUUUUCUAUAAAAUUUUGAAAUUCAUCAUCUUAAUGAAAGAACUGGAAAUAGUUUUUCCAAAUAGAAAUGGGUAAUGAUAAGGGAGGAAGUUUUAACAGUUAGAAAUAUUAUAGAAUGCAUUCUUUUACAUUUUUUCCCCAUAAAAAUGAGAGGAAGCUAAAAAACUUAUGGGUAUAGCUUUAAAUACUUUGGAUAAGAAGAUUUAUAGCAAUGUAAGGUUAUUGUUAGUAGUAGAAAUAACAUUAAUUUUUUAAAAAUAUUAGUAUUUGGAGCAGGACUAAAUACCAGUGAUCAUCCUUUUUGGUUUCUUGUGUUUGUGUAGGAGAUUCCUUUCAGACAGACAGUACCAGACCUCCUUAGGAGGGAAGCUGAUAAAGUAAUUUAGGUGGAAAGGUUUAAUGAGAUAAUGAUGCUAAGGCCAGUUAACAUCUAAUAAGAACAUAAUCAUGAGGGAUGAUAUUGUUGCUUAUUAAUUAUAAUGAUGCAGAGGAAAGAGACAAGGUGGCACUCAUUUAGCAGAGAGUACUCAGGAGUAAGACCGUUAUCCCAAAGGGGAAGUGUUGCAGUCAGAGUUAGAAGUAGGUCAACAUUUAGCAGAGUUUGAAAUUUAUGGCCGUUGGGUUAUACUAGCAACCACAGAACUGAAGGCCAGGCAGGAGGUAACAGAUGCCUUUCUGAUGGUGGCCAGGGAUGGAGUGGAGACUGCUGUGGUUGCUGGGCCAUGCACGGAGGCAGACUCCAGGGUGAGUUUUGGGAGCUGUCUGCUUGCCUUAGAUUCCACAGUGGUCAUUCGUGGGCAGACAGGCAGGUGUCCAGAACUGGACUGGAUGUGCUUCCAGUUCUGUGACCUUCCCCUCCACUCCACUGGGUCGGGUGAGUCAGACCCAAGGAUAGCUAUUCAGUCAGUGUUGGCGCCCAGCUUUGUUGAGGGAGCCCAGAAGAUCCUUUGGUCCUGUUUUUAGAGGCGCAGACCUAACUGUUAUCAGUUGAAUUGCAUUUAUGAUUCCUUGGUAUUAGUCACUAACCACAUUCCGCUUCCUGAAUUCAUUGCGGGUCUGGUCACCUCCAUGUUUGCCUAGGAUGGCAGAAUUGUAGUAUAAAUUUAUUGCAGAUACACUAAUGUCCAUAUUAGUCAGGUGGGCAGGAAUAAAGAAUUCGAGGAAGAAACAGCCAUGUGAAAAAAACAUGGAGCUUUUGGAAAUCUUGUGACUCCUCAAGGGAGGCAUAGAAGCUUGAAACAGAGGACUAGCCUGGGGAAGUUAAUUUGGGGCUGGGUAAGGAAUAUAAAAACUCUACCCCUUAUUCAGCACCUUUUCCCAAUAUGGGUCUCUCUCUGAGUCCUGGAUCCUAGGCUAUUGCUGACUCCUUUCUUGGGUCUUUGGAUGCCACCUCUGCAAUGAUAGGGAGGGGUUUUCUAUACCUUCUUGUAUAGUUAAUUUUAUUAGCUGGAUGAGGAUCACUUCACAGGAUUUUUCUUGUCCUAUAUAAUGACCCCUGAAAUAGAAAGGAAAUAAUAUUCACAUCAUUAGCUUUUUAAAGCAAGUAUAUUUUAUCUUAUUAAAUGUGUGGUUUUAGAGAGGCAAGAAGUGACAAGAAGAUGCUAGACUAGAAGAUGGAAGAUUCAGCUCUAGUCCUGACUCAUGCCUAUCAGCUCUAUCACCUUGGACAAGUCUCAUGCCUUUCAGAGCCUCAGUUUCUACAUUCAUAAAAUGAGGCAUUAUUGAGGGUAAACUUUAUGAUUAAAGAGCCAUGUCCAGCUUUAAAAUUAUGUAUUUAUGCAUAUAUGUUUUUACAGAUCCUACAUCUAUUAAACUGUUAUGGGAGAAUUAAUUGAUAAACCCAUAUGAGAGCAGAUAUUUCCUUAAAUCUGUAGUUCAAAGUGGACAGUUAAGGUCAGAGUUACCAAGGAACCAAUGCCGUAACUAUUGAGUACUAACUAUGUGGCAGGUGCUUCACAGAUGAGGAAAUGAAGAUUUUCCAAAGUUUAAAUAAAUAGUUCAAGAUCAUAUAGUCAAUAAGGAGUAAAGCCAAUGCUCAAACCCAGGCAUCCCUGAAACUGAAACUCAUGACCUUCAUCACCACUGUGUGCAUCUCCCCCUUUUUUAGAACCCAAAUGCUUAUGUCCUAUCACUUAUGGCACCAGCCACCGGAAGUUUUCUUCAGUCAUUAUGGUUCUCAACUGGGAUGCGGGGAGGGAGCAAGACAAGGAGUAGUUUGAAAACUCUUCCCAGUUGAUUCUGAUACACACAUGUCUCUGCCUCUAAAUUCAGCUGCUCUCUUUAAGACAUAACUUGGCCAGAGUCAUUCUAACAUUAUUACCCGAGAGGAUCUUACUUGAGAAUUUUCUGCUAUGUGCAGGUUCAUGUUUCUGUUUUUUCCUGCAUGUCUUCAGAGCAGGUAGAGACAUUGAACACAAUUAUUCCUCUUCCAAAUGGGGAAGUGAAGCAAAGAGAAUUGAAUGAUUCAAUUUUACUCACCUACCCAGUGGUCACAGAACUGACAUCUUCCAUGCCUAAGACUAGCCGCCACAAGACAUUGUCUUUCUAGCCAAUUCAGUUAAUAAUGUAUUUUAUAUAGAAGGAAAAUUUCACUAUUGUUUUUUGUUUUGGAGUUUUCCCAGUAAAUGGAUCAUUUUAGUGACAUUAGUUUUUUUUUUUUUUUUUCCUUUGAGAUAGUCUUAGUUUGUCACCCAGGCUGGAGUGCAGUGGUGUGAUCUCCAUUCACUGCAAACUUCGCCUCCCUGGUUCAAGUGAUUCUGUUGCCUCAGCUUCCCAAAUAGCUGGGAUUACAGCUUCCUGCCACCACUCCUGGCUAAUUUUUGUAUUUUUAGUAGAGAUGGAGUUUCACCAUGUUGGCCAGACUCAAACUCCUGACCUCAAGUGAUUCGCCUACCUCGGCCUCCCAAAGUGCUGGGAUUACAGGUGUGAGCCAUCGUGCCUGGCCUCAUUUGGUCUUAAUUCACAAUUCUUUACAGUCUCAAAUGAUUUCUUUUGGUCUUUUUUUUUAAUUUUGUUUUUUUUCUUUCUUCUUGUUGAAUAAGUUCUUCAUUAUUGCUCAGUAUGGUUGCAUUGAGCUCAUUGUGAAAAAUUAGAAACAUUCAGAUACAGGAUUUAAUUAAAUAAAGACAAUAGAGUGCAGUAUUAUAUUGCCAUUUAAAAGAAUGAGGCAGCUUCAUCUAUGGAGUGGUAUCCACGAUACACAGUUAAAAUUUAAAAAGCAAAGCACAGAACAAUGUGUAUGGUGUGCUACCAUUUGUAUAAAUACAUACAUAUAUGUUUCUAUGCAUUGCCUAACUGAGGAAGGACAUUUAAGGAACUGGUAAUAGUGGUUGUCUCUGGGGAGAAACUGACUGACUCAGAAAUUGGAAGACUAUCUCUGUUGUCCCUUUUAUAUAGUGUAUCAUGUUCAUGUAUUGCCUAUUCAUUUUUUUAAUAAAGAAGAAAGUAGAGCUAUCUUUACUGAGAUGGAAAAAUACAAAAGACAUAUUUUAGGUAUAAAAAGCAAGGUGCGGAAUAGUGUAAAUAGUAUAUGAUAUUUUUGUAAUGUAAUUAUACAUACAUACAUAUAUGCAUGGAUAUACACACACAUACUUUCCGUUUUUUAUCCUAUGUAGUUCUAUAUUGUCUGAUUUUGUUUUACACAAGGCACAUAGCAAUUUAUAAUAAAUAACUCAUACAUCUCAAACCCAAAUAAUUGCACUUGAUUUCUGUACACCUAUCAAGAAAAUUCUCCAGCAUUUCUGUCUAGCUUUAUUUUGCUGUUUGCUAUAUCUCAUGGAUUCAUUUCAGAUCUCUUCUUUGACCUUUUCUCUGAAGCUUUGUGAAGUUUCUAUUCCUUUAUCUUUACUCUCAUGCAUUCACCUUUAUCAAUAGGGCCCAGCUAAGGUCAUGACCAUGGAAAUCAUGGUAAUACUACUGGUAGUUCCUCUCUCAGCCACUUCCCUUUUUAAUUAAUCAAGAAUAAUGCAACUAAAAUCUUCCUGAUUCCUACUUUACACACUUCAACUUGGUUAAAUAAAACUCCUGACCUAUUUCAGGAAGAUUUAUUUGCUUUCUGGAUGAUUCCUAUCUACAAAUAAGUUGUAUUUCCAGUCUCAAAGAACAAAAUCCAAGAGAACUUCCUCAACUCCACAUCCCCUUCACAUACCACACCAUUUCUCUGUUUUCCUUUACAGCAAUUCCCCUUGACAACGUUGACUUUACUUUUGUAAAGAUACUUUCUCCCCUCCCAUUCAUCCUUAAACCUAUUCCUCUCAGGCUUUCAGCCCUAACCGCUGUCUCUGAACUCUUGUGUUGAGGUCAUUUAUGGUACUUACUUGCUAAAUCCAGUGGCCAGUUUUCAGUCUCCAUCUUUACCUCCCAACUUGUUGGUCACAGCCAAUCACUUUCUCCUUGCAAUACUUUUUUUUGGUCUUCUGGACACUUCUCUUUCUUGGAUCUUCUUCUGCCUCACAGACUACUCCUGAGUUUCUUCUUUAUCCUCUUUCACCUUGAAAAGUGGGGACUGCUCAGUUCUCGAGCCACCUGCCUUCUUUAUUCAAACCCAUUCUCUCAGUGAGCUCAUCUAGCCUUUGGCUUUGAAUACCAUCUCCAUGCUGAUGUCUUCCAAGUUUUUUUAUGUGCAAACUCCAGCUUGUACCUAAACUAUGGACUUGGUGUCUCCUUCUUCUGUUCUUUUUUUUUUUUUUUUUUUCUGAGACAGAGUUUCGCUCUUUGUUGCCCAGGCUAGAGUGCAGUGGCAUGAUCUUGGCUCACUGCAACUUCUGCCUCCCGGGUUCAAGCAAUUCUCCUGUCUCAGCCUCCUGAGUAGCUGGGAUUACAGGCAUCUGCCUCCACGCCUGGCUAAUUUUUGUAAUUUUAGUAGAGAUGGGGUUUCACCAUGUUAGCCAGGCUGGUCUUGAACCUCAGGUGAUCUACCCCCCUCGGCCUCCAAAAGUGGACUUGGUGUCUUCUUGACACCACUAUUUAGCUUUCUAACAGGCAUCUAAACUUAACAUGUCCAAAACAAGUGGACCCACCUGCCUGCACUAACCUUUCAUAUUUGCUAAAUGACAACUUAAUUGAAGCUCUACUUUGUUCUAACUGCUUUCACUACCUCCACCACUAAAGCCCUGGUCUAAGCCUGAUUAUCACUCACCUAGAUUAGUGCAAUAGCCUCUUAUCAGCUCCCUUGCUUCCAUCUUUUCCCCCUAAAAUCUGUUCACUGAUGGCAGCCAAAGUGGUUCUUUAAAAAAUACAAAUCAGUUUAUGCCAUUGUUUUACUCAAAACCCUCCAAUGGCUCCCAUCUUACUCAGAGUGACAUCCAAAGUCUUCACCAUAGCCUUCAAGGCCUACAUGCUUCCUGUAUUCACUCUACGUCUCUCUGGUCAGCCCCCAUUCUCUCCUCCUUGCUGUUUUCAUGCCACCUUGAUUUCCUUGCUGUUUUUUGAACAUACCAGGCAUGCUCCUACCUCAGGGCCUUUAUACUUGCCAUAGGUGUGGAAUACUCUUUUCUCAAGUAUUCAUGUGGCUCAGUUCUCUCCCUUCAUUCAGCCCAAAUGUUACCUUAUCAGAAACCUUCCAUGAAUAUCCUAUCUAGAACAGCACUCACCCAUUUCACGGUACCCCUUUACCCUGCUUUAUUUUUACCAUCAUCUGACACAUUAUAUAUCUACCUAUUAGUUGUCUAUUAUAAAUAUGAACUGGAAUAUAAGACCUAUAAGAACAGAAAUUUUUUGUUUACUACAUCUUUAACAUUUAGAAGAAUGACGGUUACAAAGAAAGUGCUCAAAAAAAUGUUCCCUGAAUAUUGAAUAAAGAAUGGUGAGAAGUUCACUAAAGCUUCCUUUAGCCUAUUCAAAUUAUAUGGAAUUGCUCUUAAGACAGUUUAUUUCUCCAUCUCAAUUUUCUCAUGUCUUUUAAAAAAAUUUGUUCUAACUUUUUAUUUUGAAAUAAUAGUAGACUUACAAGUAUUUGCAAAAAGAGUAUAUAGAAGUUUCUUCUACUCUUCACCCAGCUUCCCCUAAAUGUAACAUCUUCCCUAUCCUUUCUUUUUAUUAUUUCCUGUUUCCUUUACUUCAGUUUCUUAUUUCUUCUGUAAGUCUUUCUACACAGGCUUUCAGGAACUCCUCCAUCUCUUAUUUCAUGGCCAAAUCAUUGGUGAACUUUAUUCAACACCAACAUCAAAUUUCUUCUCCAAGAUGAUGGUCCUAUCAAGGAAGGGAUAGAUACUUCAAUUAAAUAUGCUUAAUCCUAUUUUUCAUAAUAACAAAUAAAUCAAAAGAAAAGAAAGGCUGUUUCAUCUUUUAAGCUUGUUCUACCGAGAGAUACUAUCUCUUCUGUAAGUUCUGUAUAGCAGUUUGUUUGCUGUGAUUUCUACAGACAGGCAAUUUGUUGACUCUAAUGUGUAUUUUCUCUCUUAUAUUCAACUGUUUAGGAAAAGUUGAAUAAAAACAAAUAUAUGAUUUCUUUUAAAAAAAUUAUUUAUUCUGCUGAGUCUCUGUCAACACACAUUUAUUGUGUACCUACUGUGUGCCAAGCUCCAUCCUAACGAUGGUCUCUUAUUCCCCCAAGAUAAUCUGUGAUGAACAUCACCUUUAAUACAUUGUAAGUUCUGAAAGAUUGAUUGAAAACUCCUUUCUUCCAGGUAAGUAGGUUAUUCUCUAAGGAAAGGGCAUUCAUGUUCAGGUCAUAAGGGCAUGAUUAUGCUAAUAACUGAUCUCCAGGGUUAAAAAAAGAACCCAUGUCCCUUCCAAUAUGCCUGAGAUAUAAGAUAAUCUACCAUUUGACAAGAUAAAGCUCAUCAAUUUCAUCAUCAGUAAAAAGAGGGCAUAACUGGGAUGUCACUAACUGCUACUGUUAAAAUGAGCAUGUAUUAAAAUCCUUAUGGAUGUCCCCUUCAUAUUCAACAUUAAUUAGAAACCUGCCCUAUCUCAGUGUUCUUCUAUAAUCAAUCCCCCUUUCCAGUAUUACUAAGGUAACUGUAAGCCCUGCAUGCCUGAACUGUCCUGGUUUACACCUGUUUUUCCAGCAUAAUUGUUAAUUGCAACCCUGUUCACUGUCUGAUGAAUCUUGGUUUGGACGAUAAAUUAUAUGGUCAACCUAAGUAUUAGAGUCCCUGGGAUAAACAAUCAAGGUGUCAUUCUUAUUUAUUGGUAUUGGUUUGUCACAAGCUGUGAAAACAGUUUUUCUUUUGCUUGUUUCUUCCUGAGUUGUCACGAAGACCUUCACAUAAAAUCACUCUCUCCCAUUAAAGUAAUUAUUGAAGCCCCCUUCAGUAAUGACCAGUUGUUUUAGUUUUCCUCCUCAGAUUCCAAAGACCAAAUGUAGAGAUUAUUUUUACUGGGUCAGGAUCAAAAUUGUUCAGAGGCACUAGCCUUGUAUAGGGAGAAUUUCAUCUAUCUAAUCCACAAGAAUCUUGAAGAGACAUUUUUUCCUUGGUAACAUUAUCUCGAAGAAAGAGUCUGUGAUUGACUACUAAUUUUAGCCCAGAGGAUAGAAAACUCAAAUGUACUCAAUUUCAAUGUAACAUAUGUAUUUGUGGCCUAAGAUACUUAAUGUCUCUAAAGUUGCUACAAGGGAAUGAGUAAUUGAAAGGUGAGUUUGGGUGGCCUUCUUAGACAUAAUCUCUGUUAAAACUAUUUAAUCUGUAUGGUUCACAAGAAAGGUUUUCUUGAGUUGAUGAGUAGAAUGAUAUUUCUGAUAAGAUAUUUCUACAACUAUAUUCUUGGCUGAUGGUAGUAGCAGCACCACCAUUUUUUCAUUAUUUAAUUUUGGAAAAUUGACCACUAUUUUUUUCAUCUAAGGCUGUGUCCUUAUUGUACUGAAGCACCCAAUCAACUCGAUGUAAAAAAAGAAAGUCUUUUAAAUAAUGUGGAAUUAUGAAGACAAAACAACUAGUGAGGAAACUAAAUUGUUUUUAUCUAAUUAUUUUGUAACUCAUCUGUGAACUAUAGAUAAUUCUGCUGGUUUUUGCAUUCCUGAAACAGUUGCUGUGAGAAUAAAUAAUAUACUUAGUAAAACAUUAUGAAUGUUUGAGAUAAUAGAUGCAUAAUGACUUCAUCCUUGUUUGUAGCUUGCUUGAAAAAUUAAAUUGAAUGAAACAGAGU
rnacentral:lncRNA from 1 species